rnacentral:rRNA from 1 species
AUUGAACGCUGGCGGCAGGCCUAACACAUGCAAGUCGAACGGUAACAGGAAGCAGCUUGCUGCUUUGCUGACGAGUGGCGGACGGGUGAGUAAUGUCUGGGAAACUGCCUGAUGGAGGGGGAUAACUACUGGAAACGGUAGCUAAUACCGCAUAACGUCGCAAGACCAAAGAGGGGGACCUUCGGGCCUCUUGCCAUCGGAUGUGCCCAGAUGGGAUUAGCUAGUAGGUGGGGUAAAGGCUCACCUAGGCGACGAUCCCUAGCUGGUCUGAGAGGAUUACCAGCCACACUGGAACUGAGACACGGUCCAGACUCCUACGGGAGGCAGCAGUGGGGAAUAUUGCACAAUGGGCGCAAGCCUGAUGCAGCCAUGCCGCGUGUAUGAAGAAGGCCUUCGGGUUGUAAAGUACUUUCAGCGGGGAGGAAGGGAGUAAAGUUAAUACCUUUGCUCAUUGACGUUACCCGCAGAAGAAGCACCGGCUAACUCCGUG